GUGAAUCAUCGAAUUUUUGAACGCAAAUUGCACUCUCUUCGGAGAGUAUGCGUGUUUGAGGGUCAGCCUAUAAAAAAUUUACAUCGUUGCUGUUUCGCGGUGGCGUUCGUCGGAACUUGGGUCAUAUUAAAUCUUUUGGUUUUAAGUGACUUAAAAUUCACUUUUUGGUUCCGUGAACGUUUCUAAGAUUUAUUUCUUUACACGUUUAAGGUAUCGAUUUUUAUUAGACGUGACUAUCAUAUUGGAUCUAGCACACAAUCUUUCAUUAACUG
rnacentral:misc_RNA from 1 species